ACCCAACUUUUCUUUAAACCGGUUUUGGUUUAGUUCAAAUCAUAAUUAAUUAUCUAUUAAAACUAAACCGAGCUGUAUUUUUACUUUUAUUAUUAAUCGCGUAUAUUUGUUUCUAAACCUAAUUAUAUAUAUUUGUGUAUCUCCUCCUUCAUCAAACGUGAGCAGCCACCAUUAUUUAUUUACCUCUCUCUCCAUAGCUUCUUCUCACGUUGUCAUUCUGCCUCCUAUCAUUCUCCUCUUCUCCAUGGCUUCAUUCCUUCAUGCUUUCUAUGACCGUGUGUGAAGGAAGAGAAGAUCUAUUUAUCAUCUCCGUUCAUCCCCAACGGAUCACCACGACAAGUCAUCACCGGAGAACCUUGCCGCCACCACCGGAGAUCAGCCUGAUCAUUCAUGGUGUCACGUACCAGACCGAGGAAUGGAGAACGCAACCGGAGCCACUGCCGUCCUUAGCAUUAUCUCAUGCGUAAGGUUUAAGUGUCCUUAUUGGAUUACUUGAGAAACAAGCAAUCAUUGUCAAAAUUCCUAGAUCUAAUCAACUUCUUUUCUUUUGUAUUUAUUUUGUCGUUCCUGAGAUGCUGAUGUGAGAUUCAUGAUACCAUUAUGUAAUCAUGCUCCAUGUUGUCGUGGAGAUGGCUCGUAUCUCGGUUUGUGUUCUUUGGUUAAGCUUAUACCAGUUUCGCUUCAACUCUAAACCGGUGGCUAAGGUGAACUUGUCGAGUAGUCGGAUAUCUGGACGAAUGGUGUCUUGGGAUUGUCGUAUUUUAUUUCGGUUUUCAGUUCGAUUUAUUUGAUAUAUUUUUAUAAUUAAAUUUAAAGUUGUAUUUCUUUUGAAUAUAUAAUAUUAAAUGUUUUAAUA